rnacentral:rRNA from 1 species
UGUAAGCGUAUACCAAAGUUGUUGCAGUUAAAACGCUCGUUGUCGGAAUUUGGCAGUUCCGGAUGUGUGCACGUCGUGUGCGCACUUCGCGGGGAUUGCUUUUGUGGUCUUGCGUAGGAUGAGGCACUUUUAUUAGUGAACGUCCUCACGCAACCACUUUUUACUGUGAGAAAAUCAGAGUGCUCAAAGCAGGCAUUUGCCGUGAAUGUAUUAGCAUGGAAUAAUAGAAUAGGACUUGGUUCUAUUUUGUUGGUUUGUUGGGACUGAGUAAUGAUUAAGAGGGACAGUUGGGGGCAUUUGUAUUUCGGUGCUAGAGGUGAAAUUCUUAGAUUACCGAAAGACAAACUGCUGCGAAAGCGUCUGCCAAGGAUGUUUUCAUUGA